rnacentral:rRNA from 1 species
GGGCCCGCACAAGCGGUGGAGCAUGUGGUUUAAUUCGAUGAUACGCGAGGAACCUUACCAGGGCUUAAAUGUAAGUUGCAUAGAUCAGAGAUGGUCUUUUCUUCGGACUACUUACAAGGUGCUGCAUGGUUGUCGUCAGCUCGUGCCGUGAGGUGUCAGGUUAAGUCCUAUAACGAGCGCAACCCCUGUCGUUAGUUACCAGCAAGUAAUGUUGGGUACUCUAGCGAGACUGCCGGUGCAAACCGUGAGGAAGGUGGGGAUGACGUCAAAUCAUCACGGCCCUUACGUCCUGGCUACACACGUGCUACAAUGGCCGGUACAGAGAGCAGCCACUACGCGAGUAG